ACGUAGGGGGCAAGCGUUAUCCGGAUUUACUGGGUGUAAAGGGAGCGUAGACGGAGCAGCAAGUCUGAUGUGAAAACCCGGGGCUCAACCCCGGGACUGCAUUGGAAACUGUUGAUCUGGAGUGCCGGAGAGGUAAGCGGAAUUCCUAGUGUAGCGGUGAAAUGCGUAGAUAUUAGGAGGAACACCAGUGGCGAAGGCGGCUUACUGGACGGUAACUGACGUUGAGGCUCGAAAGCGUGGGGAGCAAACAG
rnacentral:rRNA from 1 species